rnacentral:lncRNA from 1 species
ACUUGUCUAACAUGUGAUCGCAUUUCCUAAAUGCGUCCUCUAACUGUGGUGGUGUAACUGGCCCUUUACCUCCAAAAUAUAAAUCCAAUAACCUUUUAUUUCGUAUAAUACGGGCUCUAGCUUCUUCUUCCCCGGUACAUCUCAAGCUCGUAAUCAGGGCAAAUUCAAGGAUCGAGAAUCUACAUACCUUCCCGUCCCC